CCUACGGGUGGCAGCAGUGAGGAAUAUUGGUCAAUGGGCGGAAGCCUGAACCAGCCAAGUAGCGUGCAGGAUGACGGCCCUACGGGUUGUAAACUGCUUUUAUACGGGAAUAACGCGCCUUACGUGUAGGGCUUUGCAUGUACCGUAUGAAUAAGGACCGGCUAAUUCCGUGCCAGCAGCCGCGGUAAUACGGAAGGUCCGGGCGUUAUCCGGAUUUAUUGGGGGGAAAGGGAGCGUAGGCCGCAUGUCAAGCGUGCUGUGCAAUGUCCGGGCUCAACCCGGGCCUUGCCGCGCGAACUGGCGUGCUUGCGUCCGCGGCAAGCAGGCGGAAUUCGUCGUGUAGCGG
rnacentral:rRNA from 1 species